rnacentral:rRNA from 1 species
GAGGAAUAUUGGGCAAUGGACGAAAGUCUGACCCAGCCAUGCCGCGUGCAGGAUGAAUGCCCUAUGGGUUGUAAACUGCUUUUGUAUGGGAAGAAAUCCCCGGACGUGUUCGGGGUUGACGGUACUGUACGAAUAAGCAUCGGCUAACUCCGUGCCAGCAGCAGCGGUAAUACGGAGGAUGCAAGCGUUAUCCGGAUUUAUUGGGUUUAAAGGGUGCGUAGGCGGGAGAUUAAGUCAGUGAUGAAAUCCUACAGCUUAACUGUAGAACUGUUAUUGAUACUGGUUUUCUUGAAUACAGUUGAGGCAGGCGGAAUGUGUAAUGUAGCGGUGAAAUGCUUAGAUAUUACACAGAACACCGAUUGCGAAGGCAGCUUGCUAAACUGCUAUUGACGCUGAGGCACGAAAGCGUGGGGAGCAAAC